CUACGGGAGGCUGCAGUGAGGAAUAUUGCACAAUGGGGGGAACCCUGAUGCAGCAACGCCGCGUGGAGGAUGACGCAUUUCGGUGUGUAAACUCCUUUUAUAUGUCAAGAAAAUGACGGUAGCAUAUGAAUAAGCACCGGCUAACUCCGUGCCAGCAGCCGCGGUAAUACGGAGGGUGCAAGCGUUACUCGGAAUCACUGGGCGUAAAGGACGCGUAGGCGGGUUGGAAAGUCGGGUGUGAAGUCCUAGAGCUUAACUGUAGAACUGCACUUGAAACUUCUAAUCUAGAGUAUGGGAGGGGGAGAUGGAAUUAGUGGUGUAGGGGUAAAAUCCGUAGAUAUCACUAGGAAUACCUAAAGCGAAGGCGAUCUCCUGGAACAUUACUGACGCUAAGGCGUGAAAGCGUGGGGAGCAAACAGGAUUAGAUACCCGGGUAGUC
rnacentral:rRNA from 1 species